CCAGUGGAGCUGCUGUUGCGUG
rnacentral:miRNA from 8 species